UGCAGGCCGCCAUGAGGGGUGGCAGCGGCGCUGGGCCGCGACGGCCGCCAUGAGGGCUUCCAGCUGAUACGUGGCUUAAGCGUGCAUGAAGGGAUCGCUGUAACUCGGAGGUCUGGGGUGGCAAAGAGCUGUCUGGGAGACACAGCCCUCAGGCAAACGGUUUGCAUGUUCUGCUGCGGGUGGGGGCUUGCUGGAGCAGAAGAAAAGAAAAAGCUGUUGGUGCUGCUUUGAAGAUCCCCAUUUGAAAGAGAUUGAGAAAAUGGAAACUUCCACAAUUUAAAUGGCAGUAGUGGAGAAGUAUUUCCUUUCAGGAUCUGGAUGUAGUAACUUGGAAUGUCAGAGGUGGUUGGGGGCAAGGUAUAACAAGAAUUACAUAUAGAAUUUGUUUAUGUUUAUAUAAUUAUAUACACGAUUUGUUUGUUUAAAAAUAUAUUUGUGACCUCUAUUUAUUAAACUUAUA